rnacentral:rRNA from 1 species
AUUGAACGCUGGCGGCAGGCCUAACACAUGCAAGUCGAACGAGUGGCGUACGGAUGAGUAAUGUCUGGGAAACUGCCCGGUGGAGGGGGAUAACUACUGGAAACGGUAGCUAAUACCGCAUACCAUCGGAUGUGCCGAGGUGGGAUUAGCUAGUGGGUGGGGUAAAGGCUCACCUAGGCGACGAUCCCUAGCUGGUCUGAGAGGAUGACCAGCCACACUGGAACUGAGACACGGUCCAGACUCCUACGGGAGGCAGCAGUGGGGAAUAUUGGACAAUGGGCGCAAGCCUGAUGCAGCCAUGCCGCGUGUAUGAAGAAGGCCUUCGGGUUGUAAAGUACUUUCAGCGGGGAGGCGUUACCAGCAGAAGAAGCACCGGCUAACUCCGUGCCAGCAGCCGCGGUAAUAC